ACAACAUUAAGAUUUUACAAUAAAGAAGAUAGAGAACUGAGAAUUUUCUGGAUUGGAUAAAAGGACUCAAGGGAAAAAAUAAGAUAAAAUAUGGGGGCAAUAUAAUGGUAGCAGUUUUGGUUUUCAGACAAAGAAACAGGAUCUUCAUGUAAGUUCAGAGAUAUUGAGUGUUAGAUGGCAGUGUGGGAACAGGUUGUACAACCCAGCCAGAAAUAGCUGGCCCAGCGGGUAGAGCCUGGGCCUGGGAAGUGUAGCAGCACCAACGAUAACCAAACUCUACUCUUGGAAAGAGCUGCUUCUAUCCUGAGAGGAGAGACUGUGCCCUGGGGACAGGCAGGGCACCAGGGGUGACAGGAGCAGGAAGGGGCCUGGGGCUUCAGAGCUGAGUCUUGUGUUAAAAUAUUCCUGCCCCUGUGGUCUUCAUGAUUGGAGCACCUCCUUCUGCUUUCUCACACCCAGUCUAAGCUACAAGGCAGAGAAUGGACACGCUAACAAACUGCCACUUCGCUAUGGUUUUGCUGCCUUGCCUUUGAUAAUCUCUGUGUGUCAGAGUCCUUUUUGGAAGCAAUGCCUAUCCUCCUAUGUGAGUAAUGCAUGUAAAGCAGCCCAGCCCUAAAAUGGUGCUGGCCAGGGAGCUGAUGGCCAUCGACAGGAGACCUCUAUUACCAGUUAGGCCUUGGGGGCUUCAGGGAAUAUCCAGGCCUCUAAGCUAUAAAGAAAAACAGGACCUUGAAUGAAGCCAGAGGACUGCUUCUCUCUCUGUGAAGCGCCUCUUCCAUUUAAACAUCCAACACAUGAGAUUCAGGUAUGGGAAACCACAGAGGAAGAGCAGGUAAUAGGUAAAAUAAUAUUUAUUUCUUCUUCCAGUGCUUUCUGGCUUCAAAAUUUCUUCUAUUCAUAGGUAGAGUUGCAAUGAAGCUGGUAAAAAUGAGCCCCCAUGGGAAAAUCCAAUAGGAAGUAUUGCCAAGCUAUGCUUCAAAAUACUAUCUGUAAAAUUUCUCAAAACUCUAGAGUUUGAGACCAGGAGUUUGAGACCAGCUUGGACAACAUAGUGAGACCCUGUCAAAAGAAACAAGGAAGGAAGGAAG
rnacentral:lncRNA from 10 species